rnacentral:lncRNA from 1 species
GGAAUGCAGUCACUAGAACUACUAAUUAUAGUGAUUAAAAAAGAGAAAUUCAGAGUAUUCAAUAGGUAUAGCCCCACGGCUAUACUGUUUUCACAAAAUAGGCGGGCCCUUUAUUUUUAUUUUUACAAAUAGUAUAGCCGCCCGGCCAUACUCCGAAUUAUUAUUAUUUUUAUAUAAAACGAGUAUAGCCGGGCGGCUGGCCUGGGGUCUUUUUUAAAUUCUGUUUUAUCAAUAGUAUAGCCGCACGGCUAUAGGCUUUACAUAGAUACUGUUUUUUUUUUUGGGUUGUUUUUCCCUGAUUUUUGUUUAUCGAUAAGAGUUUAGAGCAUUAUCCAUUACUAUUAGGCAAUUACCUGUAUUUCUAUUGUCUCCUUUCGAG